rnacentral:rRNA from 1 species
AUACAGAGGGUGCAAGCGUUAAUCGGAUUUACUGGGCGUAAAGCGCGCGUAGGUGGCUAAUUAAGUCAGAUGUGAAAUCCCCGAGCUUAACUUGGGAAUUGCAUUCGAUACUGGUUAGCUAGAGUAUGGGAGAGGAUGGUAGAAUUCCAGGUGUAGCGGUGAAAUGCGUAGAGAUCUGGAGGAAUACCGAUGGCGAAGGCAGCCAUCUGGCCUAAUACUGACACUGAGGUGCGAAAGCAUGGGGAGCAAACAGGAUUAGAUACCCUGGUAGUCCAUGCCGUAAACGAUGUCUACUAGCCGUUGGGGCCCUUGAGGCUUUAGUGGCGCAGCUAACGCGAUAAGUAGACCGCCUGGGGAGUACGGUCGCAAGACUAAAACUCAAAUGAAUUGACGGGG